rnacentral:ncRNA from 10 species
GGCCCAUCGGGCAGCAGAUUCGUAAACAAACAUCUGCGGGACAGUA